UAGAACUUGCCACUCACACACUGAGCAGCACUCACUAACUUUCUAUUUCUAAACAAUUUGUUCACUUUUUAUCUCAGGCAUGUCUGAAAAGACAUCAAAUAACUUUUUCCAUCGCUUUAAAGAUUUGAUUCAGAGAAAGCGCACAGGUGGAGAUGCAGACACAUUGCAUAUCGCACAGAGACCCAGAGAUUAUGCUGUGCAUCUCCCACCUUUACCUGAGCAAUGCGCAGGCUCUCCACAGAGAGUCCAGAGAAGCUGGAACUGUUUGGAUGACCCCUUUUGGAAUCAGGAGGACCCUGAAAGAAGUCUGAGUAGCCUCAGCUCUGCAGACACACACACACCAAGUGAUCUGAGGGCCAUUCCUUUCAUUGUUAGUCCUGUUGAGAUGACACCGCUCACUCCAGUUCCUCCACCUCCUCGAGCAGCUUGUCCAUCGCAAUUGCGGUUCAAAGACACGAAGUUCAUUCGUGGAAUAAGAGUCUUGACAGCAAAAGACAAAUUUGGGCCUAUUUUGACUCCAAA